GCUCUGGGAUCCCUGACUGAGGGAUAGACCACAGGCUGCUUGUUGUUCGGGUUUCACAAGUUUGCCCUCUGGUUUUACUGUUAAAGAGAGGCCAUUGUAACUGAGAACUAGCUUCGAAUACAGCUGCUGCUACAUCUUUCCAGGCUUAUGAGAUAAUCCUGUUUUUGGUAGCCAGGUAUUUAACAUCUGUCUUUCAACGGAACCAAGUCUACAUGAAGCCAUGUGCCUGCUGCCACGCUUCACACCUGGAUGAUAAUGGACUCACCUCUGGAAACAAGCCCCCAAAUUAUAUGCUUUCUUUUAUAAGAAUUGCUUUGGCUAUGGUGUUCUUCACAGCAAUAAAAUAGCGAUGAAGACAGUAGUUGAUACCAGGAAACCGAGUAUUGCUGUGACAGGCAUGACCAUGCUGUAUAUUGGCAGAAUGUGAACUUUGGACUAGAAAAGUGACUGAGUGGUUUAAGUCGGGAUUUUAUGGGCUAUACUAGUAGCAAGGACACUUGUAUUGGAAAAAUGUAGACAAGUGGGAGACCAGCACAGGAAGUUGCAGAGGGAGAAAUCAUACAAAGUGAAUACAAAGCAACCUAGUGACCAUUCUUGAUGUAUUUCAGCAAAGAGGUGGCUGCUUUUGCCCAUGUCCUGAAAAUCUGCCCGAGUUUUUGAUUAAUGAUGGCAGAGGAGAUGUCAAGACAGCUUAGAAUUGAUCAUAUCAUAUGGUUAUUAGUAAUCACUCUUAUUUAGGUCAGUAAUGGAAAAGAUAAAGCUAGACAAAAAGAAAUACCAAAUGUACAGAUUGAGGGGAAAAGAAAGCACUAGAGAGUGUAAUGGAGCUAAGUCCAGUGCUUCUAGAAGAUUAAAAUUUAAAGAAAAAUUUGACACUAAGUGGAAUCAAAAGAGCAGUAACCUCAGGUAAGAUCCCACUCAGUUAAGGUUCCAACUUGUAAAAGGGAAUUAAAGAAGUUUAAGCAGUGAAGGAAACUAUCAAGAAGGGAAAGCUGAUGCAAAUGUAAAUGAAUCAGAGGGCCAAGUUCAGGCCAGCAAGCAGCUGAAUUUGGCAGCUUUAGCCAAGUGGUUCUGGCCUUAGAGUCAAGGAAAUCAAGAGAGCAAGUCCUUACAAUAUACAAAGGAAUGGCUCUUCCCCCACUGGCUAAGAAAAGGUGCUGAGUCCAGGCAAGUGCUGUGGGUGUUGAGGACCCCCUGCAGGUGUCCAUGCAGUGAUCCAUGAAGAAAUGAGAAUGAAACCUUGGUUCAGAUAGACUUCGUCAACCUAGAUCAAACUUCGGGGAGUUUAAUGCUAGGCCAUCCAUUGUCAGCAUAUUAAAACAUAGUACAAUUUGGGAAAAUUACUAAAUAUUUUCCCUUUAAGUAAAUUAUUUUAUUCUUUUUUGGAAGAUUUACUUAGUUUUAUUUUAUUUGGAAAGAUGAAUAAAUAGUAGAAAAUGUAUCUAAUCCAUUUUGUAAGGAAUAUUGAAAUUAUUCAAAAUAAAAUAUCUGGUUGUGUGAUUUGUA
rnacentral:lncRNA from 1 species